UGAGUAACGCGUGAGGAACCUGCCUUCCAGAGGGGGACAACAGUUGGAAACGACUGCUAAUACCGCAUGAUGCGUUGGAGCCGCAUGACUCCGACGCCAAAGAUUUAUCGCUGGAAGAUGGCCUCGCGUCUGAUUAGCUAGUUGGUGAGGUAACGGCCCACCAAGGCGACGAUCAGUAGCCGGACUGAGAGGUUGGCCGGCCACAUUGGGACUGAGAUACGGCCCAAACUCCUACGGGAGGCAGCAG
rnacentral:rRNA from 1 species